rnacentral:rRNA from 1 species
UACGUAGGGGGCGAGCGUUGUCCGGAUUUAUUGGGCGUAAAGAGCGUGUAGGCGGCCCGGUAAGCCCGCUGUGAAAGUCGGGGGCUCAACCCUCGAAUGCCGGUGGAUACUGUCGGGCUAGAGUGCGGAAGAGGCGACUGGAAUUCCUGGUGUAGCGGUGGAAUGCGCAGAUAUCAGGAGGAACACCGGUGGCGAAGGCGGGUCUCUGGGCAGUAACUGACGCUGGAGGAGCGAA